UACGUAGGGGGCUAGCGUUGUCCGGAAUCAUUGGGCGUAAAGCGCGCGUAGGCGGCCAGAUAAGUCCGGUGUGAAAGCCACAGGCUCAACCUGUGAAUGCCGCUGGAAACUGUCUGGCUAGAGUCCGGGAGGGGCGAGUGGAAUUCCUGGUGUAGCGGUGAAAUGCGCAGAUAUCGGGAAGAACACCCGUGGCGAAGGCGGCUCUCUGGGACGGUACUGACGCUGAGACGCGAAAGCGUGGGGAGCGAACAGG
rnacentral:rRNA from 1 species